rnacentral:rRNA from 1 species
AUUGAACGCUGGCGGCAGGCCUAACACAUGCAAGUCGAGCGGAUGAAUGGAGCUUGCUCCUGGAUUCAGCGGCGGACGGGUGAGUAAUGCCUAGGAAUCUGCCUGGUAGUGGGGGAUAACGUCCGGAAACGGGCGCUAAUACCGCAUACGUCCUGAGGGAGAAAGUUGGGGAUCUUCGGACCUCACGCUAUCAGAUGAGCCUAGGUCGGAUUAGCUAGUUGUUGGGGUAAAGGCCUACCAAGGCGACGAUCCGUAACUGGUCUGAGAGGAUGAUCAGUCACACUGGAACGGUAACGCGACACAGACUCCUCCGGGAGGCAGCAGUGGGGAAUAUUGGACUAGGCGAUGAAGGCUGAUCUAGACAUGCCGAGUGUGUGAAAAAGGUAUUCGGAUAGUAAAGCACUUUAAGUUGGGAGGAAGGACAGUAAGUUAAUACCUUGCUGUCUUGACGUUACCAACAGAAUAAGCACCGGCUAACUUCGUG